UUGAUUACAUUCUCUUAAAUGAAUUCUCACUUUUUUGUUUGCUUUUCCAGGAAGGAUAAAUAAUAAGCUGACAAUGAAACGAACGGUUAGUGAAGUCGAAAAAGUGAGUGAACAAAAUACCGAAGCUUCAACUUCAAAAUCAUCCCAUCGCCGAAGAAGAGACGGGGCCUGACCGAUGCAAAAAUGUCGUAAACACGACAACCUUAUUACCAUUAAGGUUAAGUGGACAGCCGAUCGGCCUUGGAAGUGGUACAUAUACUAAUUAUUUGGCAACACUUGCUCGGAAUGGUAUAUUAGCUCCUUUGUGCUACAAAACUUGGUGGGAGAUGCCUAAAUGGCUUAAAGAGGAUGUGGAACAUUGUAAAGGGAAAGUAUGAUGUGAGAAUCAUGUCAAAACAGUGGACAUUAUCCUCCAUCGAAAAAAAAUGGAGGGGGCAUAAGUGUGAAUUAAAAAGUGAAUACUACUCGGUUAGGGAUACAAAUGCAGAAAGAUUGACAAACCCACCACCUAAUGUUGAAAAGGAGCAUUGAGAGUUUUUGGUUAGGCAUUGGGGUAUGCCUAUUG